CCAGGGCCAGUCGCUAUGGCGACGGGACCCGACGUCGGCGCGGGCCGCGCGCGCGCCGUGGACGUUAACGCGCGGGUGCGCGCACGCGCACGCGCCGCGCUGGGAGGCCGCCGCCGCUUCCGCGCUUUGCGGCUGCUCGUCGGUCGCCGCCGCGGAGGUAAAGCUUUCCGGUCGCAAAAGCCGGAAGCGGUUGGAAGAGGUCCACGCGGUCGUCAGUGAAGUCGCGCGCCCCGGAUUUCGGAGGGCUGGGCCGCGGGGCUUCCGCUGCACCUCCAGCCGCCGGCCGCCGCGCUUGGAGGGACGCUCCCUUAAAAGUCGCUUUCCGAGGAGGCCGAGAACGAGUGGUGGAGUGCAGCGGUAACUCGCUUGUUGCAUCUACUCCUCCCCUCUCUGUGUUGCCCAUUUCCCACCCCUCUUUAUUAACGAACUUCAGGAAAACGUAGAGGUUUUCGGCGCGGUCGGGACCUGAGCUUGCGGCCACCUGUGACACCAGCUGGCUAAUCUUAUAACAAGCACAACCGAAUCCUGGAGAAAUACAGGACGUGGGGCGUUAUCGUUUACUACGCCGUGGUGUCAUUGUGAAUUCCGAUACUGCUGCUCUCUGAUCCCGGUUUUGUGAAUCCCAAAAUUAUCUUCCAAGAACCCUGGGCCCCGGAGACAUGGGCCCCGCCCGGAAAGCAUUUUGCCGGCUUUAUCCUCGGGAACUUAAAUAGGUUACGGAUUUUUUUUUUUUUUUUUUUUUUUUUUGCAUUCAGGAGUCAUAACUUCCUGCUAAAACUAUAUUAUUUUAUCAUUGCAAAGAGGGUCUUUUGAUCUGCUGAGCAACUUGCUUAAGAUUAGGGAGUGCGAACUAAAGACAGCUGAACUGCUGUGCCAGAUGGUGGGAGAGAGGCGUCCAUGAAUUGGGAUUCUGGUCACCGAAUGGGGAAAAAAUCCAGACAAGAACCCAAGGUGACUGACUAGCUAAAAAAGGAUUUUGAAAGCGAAAAUGGCUGGUAUGGAUACAGAGAUACCCCGCUCUGCAGCGGGCGUUAUGACCCUUAACAGGGUCUUCAGGAAAGUCACCACUACUCACAAACGCUUGGUCUGGAGGAGUUGUUUUGCUGGAAACAGAAACGGUUGGAUUUAGCAUCCAUGACAACGUGGUAAGUGUAAAGGCAGCAGGUGUAGCGACAGGAGUCAGGAAAGCAGUUGAGAUCCUACGAAUGCUACCCUUCCAGAAACUUGUGGGACUCUUGGGUGGGCUUUGGACUUCCACGAGAUAGGAAAUUAGAGUGUUUGAGUGUAGUUUAACCCGGAUGUCCAGAAACAUAGAAACUCCAGCUGACGCGUAAACCCUGUGAGGAUAGGAAUUUUGUAUGUCUUGCUCACUGCUCUGUACCUAGAAUUAGGCAUAGAGUGGAAAGGUCCCUGUACUCCUGAAGCUUCAAAAAGGAGGAAGGAAUCUCAGAGAUAAGUAACUUAUACAAAGCCACAGAAAUAAUUAGCUGUAGAACCAAGAUUCAUAUCGAGCUCCAACUCCAAACCGAUCUCUAGGCACGACACCACAGUGGUACACAGCCAGCUAUCCACCAGUAUCCAUUGUCUCCAGCCACAGCUAAGUAGCUACUACCAGGGCACCCCACUCUCGGUUGGGCGCCCCACUCUUGGUUUGACUCUGAUCAUGAUCUCACAGUUUAGUGAGUUCCAGCCUGCGUUGGGCUCUGUGCUGCUAAUGCAGAGAAUGUUUGGUUCUCUCUCUCUUUCUGCCCCUCCCCUGCCCCUUGCUCAUGCUGUGCUCAUGCUGUCUCUGUCUCUCUCAAAAAUAAACUUCAAAAAAAAAAAAAAAAAAAGAACUACUAGCCAGGUGUGGCCAUCAUGUAACUCUCAUCAGCAGAAUGCGGCCAGAAGCAAUGUGUGCCAUUGACAAGGGAAGUUUCAAAGAAGGGAGUGCGCCUUCAUCUUUGGCCAGCUGGAUACAGACGACAAAGCCAUAAGAGAUGACCGAACCACAAACCAGGAGGACCUCAGGGCUCCUGGCUCCGUGUGGAGUAAAGCCAGCAGCUGUUAAGUAAGCAAGAAAUAACCUUCACUGUGUUUGAGCCAUUUCGCAUUAUCCUUAUGUGGGUCUGUUUUUUUAGAGUAACGUAAGCCACUCUAAUCAAUAGAGUAACUGAUCUCAGCAGUAGGGUGCUAUUUGUUUGUUUGGGGUUUUGUUUUCUUUUGUUUUUAUGUUUAUUAUGAGAGCAUGAGGGAGAGAGAAAAGCUCAAGCAGGCUCCGAACCCGCAGCAUGGAGCCCAACGUGGAGCUUGAUCCCCAACCAAGAGUUGGGCACCCAACUAACUGAGCUACCUAUGCACCCCCAUUUUCUUUAAUUUUAUGUAGGACAUUGGUUUAGUAGUUGGCUAGCAGGUAGCAUGAAAUGUGAAGUGGAGGACAAGGGACAGGACCUUUCUGGGCUAAAAUUUCCUGAUUUUGUUCUAUAUUUGUAUUUUUCAAGCAUCAGUUCUUAAAGGCUGUUGCCGUUUGGAAUCUGGAACCAUAUCAAUGAUUCGACAUUUCGUACUCAGCUACGUUAAAAGCCGUUGGUUAUCUUGUACUCUGAAUGGAUUUUUUACCUAGGCACGGUUUCAUAACAUCACACAUCGGUCAUUUGGAAAAUACUGGUUCACUGAGCUAUGAGGAUCUUCCAAAUGUUGAUACGUUUCAUAACACAAUAUUAAAACAAUCACAUGCAUUAGUAUACCACUCAGCUCACAAGUCUCUAUGUCUGAAGAGGUUGUUAGGUUUACAACAGAGAAUGUAACUUUUCCAAAAUUCUAAUUUUUUUAAAUUUCUUUUUUUAAUAUGAAAUUUAUUGUCAAAUUGGUUUCCAUGCAACACCCAGUGCUCCUCCCAACAGGUGCCCUCCUCCAUGCCCAUCACCCACCCUUCCCUCCCUCCCACCCCCCAUCAACCCUCAGUUUAUUCUCAGUUUUUAAGAGUCUCUUACGGUUUGGCUCCCUCCAUCUCUAACCUUUUUUUUUUCCUUCCCCUCCCCCAUGGUCUUUUGUUAAGUUUCUCAGGAUCCACAUAAGAGUGAAAACAUGGUAUCUGUCUUUCUCUAUGUGACUUAUUUCAUUUAGCAUAACACUCUCCAGUUCCAUCCACGUUGCUACAAAGGGCCAUAUCUCAUUCUUUCUCAUUGCCACGUGGUAUUCCAUGGUGUAUAUAAACCACAAUUUCUUUAUCCAUUCAUCAGUUGAUGGACAUUUAGGCUCUUUCCAUAUUUUGGCUAUUAUUGGAAGUGCUACUGUAAACGAUGGGGUACAAGUUUCUAAUUUUUGCAUGCAAACUUGAAUUUUAUCAUCGGCAAUGAAAACUGGCAGUUGUUUUCCUUGAAAUAAUAGCCUUAAACUGUAAGAGACUCUUAACCACCGGAGAACAAACAGGGUUGAUUGAGGGAAGAGGGUGGGGGGUGGGCUAGAUGGAUGAUGGGGGACUAAGAAGGGCCCUUGUUGGGAUGAACACUGGGUGUUUUAAGUGAUGAAUCAUUGAAGUCUACUCCUGAAACCAUUACUACACUAUAUGUUAACUAACUAGAAUUUAAAUAAAUUUUAAGAAGAUAGCCUUAUUAGAGAAUGCAUUUUUGAGAAAAAUGUCUGUUAAAGGCUCAGUCUCGAUAACCAGAGCUUUUCUGCCAUAAAUGGCCUUAUGUGAAUACAGCUGCUGGUUCUGAUCAGGACUCCAGGCCCAGGCUCCUUCCUGCAGGCAGAUCACGGGUCACUGAGCCGCCCGCGUGCCUUGUGUGUGCUUCAUCUCAUCACCCAGGACGUGAAAUGACUUGUCCUCAAGCUUUGGGACUCAGUCAAGAGGUAAUCUUUACCCCUUUAUUAAGGAACUCUUCCGGGAAACGGGGAUCCUUUCCUGUGCGUGCAUGGAGGCAGAGACCGGAUGGCUUCUGGAACAGUUGUGUGCCCCAGUCUCCAUCUGGGCCAAGGUGCUGGCAGUUUUAGCAGCCGCAUUAGUUUUCCAGUGUUUCAUCACCAAGAACUGCAAAGCUAGCAGCUUAAAACAACAUCUCUUUUAGCGUGAAGUCCCGCCUGUCAGUAAUGGGGAAACUGCAUACAUGGAUGUCCACUAAGGAUCUCCUGUAACUUAAAUCAAGACAUGGGCCAGGCUGAGUUCUCCCCUGCAGCUUGGGGGUCCUCUCCCAAGUUCAGACCAUUGAGGCAGAAUUAAGUUCCUUGCAGUUGUGAGACUCAUUCCCCAUUUCUUUGCUGGCUGUCGACUGAGGUUCCUUUCAGCAGGUGGAGGCCGCCACAUUCCUCACGUCUGGCUUCAGAGCCAGCCAGAGAACUUUCCCACCCAUCAGUUCUCCCAUCACACCUCUUAUAACAGAAAAGAGGCUCAUUCCUUUUAAGGGUUCACCUGAUUAGACCAGGCCCAGUGGAUGACCUUUAUGAACUUUCAGUCAACGGAUUAGUAAAUUAAGCAUGGGAAUGACAGCCCAUGCUGUCUGCAGGCGUGGCGCCCCAUCUCAAGGUCAGAGGGCUGCACAGGGUGUACCCACCAGGGAGUGGAAACCUUGGGGCCCCUUCCGAGUUGAGCCUGCCUCAGCUACCCUUGCUUUUGCACCACCGGUGAAAAUGUCAAGCAGUUAAAAGAGGCAUAGAAUGUCCCACCUUGUGAAAAUUGCUUGAUCUCCCAAACCCCUGAAGAUGCCUUAAGUUCCCCCAGGGGUCCAAAUGAUCUCUAACGGAUCUACAUCUUUUCUACGGUGGUGACUGCAGGAAAACAGGCUUUUUCUGUUUUAUCCAUUAUCUUUGACAAAUAUUGGGUAAAUUAUUUAUCAUGUUAGUUAUAAAAAUUGCUCCCUUAGGGCGCCUGGGUGGCUCAGUCAGUUGGGUGGCCGGCUUCAGCUCAGGUCAUGAUCUCGUGGUCCGUGAGUUCAAGCCCCACGUCGGGCUCUGUGCUGAUAGCUCAGAGCCUGGAGCCUGCUUCUGUUUCUGUCUCCUUCUCUCUCUGCCCCUCCCCCAUUCGCACUCUGUCUCUCUCUGCCUUUCAAAAAUGAAUAAAUGUUAAAAAAAAUUUUUUUUUAAUCGCUCCCUUUAUUAAAUAUAUUCUUUAUACUUACCCAGUGGAAAGAAAGAAUACCAUGGGAUUGUCAGACAAUUUUUUGUAGUAAGGCAGUGUUUUUAGACCAUGCUGGGGGGAACAUACUGGAGAGAUGUCAUUUCAGAACCUUGCCUUCACACUUACAAAGGCUGAAACUCACUCUUGGGCAUAGCCCUCACAUAUUUCAAUCACCAGCAGAGAGAAAUGUACACUCUAAUAGGACACUCAAUGAUCAACUCACAUACUGAAAUCUACUCACCUCUCUGCAUGUGUAUGUGUCCCUAUGGAAGACAAGGAACUCUGUUUUUUCUGAAUGUUUCUGAAGUCCUUGAGAAAUUUCUAGCCACUACUUCGGGGACAAAUAGGGAGCUAGAUGCUCCUGCAGCCAGGUGUACUGAAGAUACGGGGAGGGAGGGGGAGAUAUGUAAGCAGGGGGCUCAUAGCUGGACAGUCCUUUUGUCUGCACGCCUCCUGCCCCCAGCGAAUGCUGGGCAGAGUUGAGGAGGUAGGAGAAUGGGCCGGAAACGUGAUAAUGUGGGUAAGAUUUUCCCCAGUCUCCACUGAGAGAACCAGAAACAGACAUUAGAGGAGAAUGAAAGGUGUGGAGUUCCUUGCAGAUAAUACUUGUGUGUGUGUUUCAUUAUAAAAAAGUACAGACAUGACUGAAUAAUUGAAAUAUUUGACUCUUCUAUCAAAUUUUAAAUCCUAUUUAUCAAUGUUGGUGCUUUAUUAUGUUUUAAAAAUUAAAUAUCAAAGUUAAUUUUCAACAUAAUAUUAAUGGUAAGAAUUAUGGGAGGUAUGGCAGAAACUAUAUUCUCUUUUUUAAAAUUUUUUUAAUGUUUUUUUUUUGGGAGAGAGAGACAGUGUGAGUGAGGGUGCGGCAGAGAGGGAGACAGAAUCCAAAGCAGGCUCCAGGCUCUGAGCUGUCAGCACGGAGCCUGACGCAGGGCUAGAACUCAGGAGCCGUGAGGUCAUGACCUGAGCUGAAGCUGGACACUUAAUCAACUAAGCCACCCAGGAGCCCCAAGAGAUUUUUUUUUUAAGUAUAGUUUUGUGAUGUUUUUAUACUUCUUGGUAAAAAUUGUUUCCACUUCUUGAUGUUUGGUUUGUAUUUACUUUCCGUAAGAGUUUAAUUGACAAGUAUCUUCUCGGUAUUGAGGGACAAGAAACCAUAUGGCAAAACGCUUACUGGCUCUGACCGUCUCUGCACAUCAGUUCCAUUCACAUUUUCUAGGCCAAGCAAGUCACAUGGUCACAUCUAGCCACAAGUGCACAGCAAGGAAUAAAGUUGUAGAUGGCGGCUGCCCUAAUGACAAAGAACAGAGUCUCCUGCUGACCCUUGACCACCGCCUAGUGUGACCAAGCAAACAAACGUCAUGUCUUAAACGGUGGAGCUGUUGGCGUCUUUGUUGCUGUGGCCCAACUCACCCAUGAGUGCUGCAGUUAGGGCUUGUCCCACACCCGGCCCACACCCCCGGGCCAGUUCGCCAAUUGACUUGACUGUGUGAGUUCGCAAGGCUGCUUUACACAACGCUGUCUUCCUGAAAUCUGCACCUGUACCAAGUUAGGUGCCCGUCAUCUGUCUGACAAACAAAGCUAGUGCUUUUAAUGUUGCCUUUCAGUGUGAUUAAGUACACUAGUGAACCUACUGUUUUAAGGUUCUUGAUAAAAAAAAAUGUCAAAACAAGUAAGAGGUAAUAUUCUCUAAUGAUGCUAAUUAUUCUUUUAAAUGCUUUGAUGCUGCUUUCUCUCCUGUGUGCCUGACCUAGCUUAUCUAAUCUUGCUUAGGCUUGUAACUGAAUGUCCUGUAAUACUAUUUGAAAAACACACACAUACAUAACCACUGAUACAAACUGAAAGCUUUUUCAUACCAUGGCAACUAUUCAUAAGAAGGUUCACAUAAGCUAUUAGAGUCUUUUAUUUCCUGUUUCCAUUUUUAUCGAUGUGAAAUGAUUGUUGCAUAAAGAGCAAGGAAGCCA